rnacentral:rRNA from 1 species
UUAACAAAAACAUGUCUUUUUGAAAUUUAAAUAUAAAGUCUAAUCUGCCCACUGAUAAAAUUAUUUAAUGGCCGCAGUAUUUUAACUGUGCAAAGGUAGCAUAUAUAAUUAGUCUUUUAAUUGAAGGCUUGUAUGAAUGAUUGGACGAGAUAUAAGCUGUCUCAUAAAAAAUUUUUAGAACUUAAUUUUUUAGUAAAAAAGCUAAAAUAAAUUUAAAAGACGAGAAGACCCCAUAGAUCUUUAUAUUUUAUUAUUAUUAUUAUUAUUUAGUUUUUUUAUAAGUUAAUAAAUAAAAAUAUUUUGUUGGGGUGACAUUGAAAUUUAGUAAACUUUCAAAAGUUAAAUACCAUUAAUUUAUGAAUUUAUGAUCCUUUAUUAUUGAUUAAAAAUUUAAGUUACCUUGGGGAUAACAGCGUAAUUAUUUUGGAGAGUUCAUAUCGAUAAAAUAGAUUGCGACCUCGAUGUUGGAUUAAGAUUAAUUUUAGAUGCAGCAGUUWAAAAUAUUAAGUCUGUUCGACUUUUAAUUUCUUACGUGAUC